rnacentral:misc_RNA from 1 species
UGAAAGUGCUGAUGCUGUUCCUGCUUUAUUGUGGCUUCUGAAGAAUGGUAGCUCCAACGGGAAGGAAAUUGCUGCAAAGACACUGAACCAUUUGAUUCACAAAUCAGAUACUGCAACAAUUAGUCAACUCACUGCACUAUUAACUAGUGAUCUUCCAGAGUCCAAAAUUUAUGUCUUAGAUGCACUGAAAAGUUUGCUCUCUGUGGCCUCUCUAAGCGAUAUGUUGCGUGAAGGCAGUGCGGCAAAUGAUGCAGUUGAGACAAUGAUAAAGAUAUUAAGCUCUACCAAGGAAGAGACUCAGGCUAAGGCUGCUUCAGCUCUUGCUGCAAUUUUCCAUCUCAGGAAGGACCUGCGAGAAAGUACCCUUGCUGUGAAGACUUUGUGGUCACUUGUGAAGCUUCUGAAUGCUGAACCUGAGGCUAUCUUAGUGGACACGUCGCGCUGCCUUGCUGCAAUAUUUCUCUCUAUUAGAGAAAGCCGUGACAUUGCAGCAAUUGCUAGAGAUGCAUUGCCUUCAUUAAUGGUGCUUGCAAAGUCCUCAGUUUUACAAGUUGCAGAACAAGCAGUAUGUGCUUUGGCCAAUCUUCUUUUGGAUCCCGAGGUGUCUGAGAAAGCAGUUCCUGAAGAAAUCAUCUUGCCUGCUACUAGAGUUCUUCGUGAAGGCACAACUGGUGGAAGGACCCAUGCCGCAGCAGCAAUUGCUCGUCUUCUUCAAUUCAGUGAGGUUAAUCCUGCCUUAACUGAUUGCGUUAACCGUUGUGGAACAGUUCUUGCAUUAAUUUCUUUCCUGGAAUUAACUGGAAGCGACUCUGUUGCUAUAUCAGAAGCUUUAGAUGCACUUUGUUUCCUCUCAAGGCUGGAAGGAGCUAGUGGUAUCAAACCUGCAUGGGCAGUUCUAGCUGAAUAUCCAAAUAGCAUAAGUCCUGUGGUUUCAUGCAUUGCUGAUGCCUCAUCGGUGUUGCAAGACAAAGCAAUUGAAAUAUUGUCUAGACUCUGCCAAGCUCAGCCCACUGUGCUUGGCGAUGCUAUCGCUUGUGCCUAUGGAUGCAUUUCUUCAGUUGCAAGAAGGGUAAUUUGUUCCUCCAAUGCUAUGGUCAAAAUAGGAGGAAGUGCACUUCUUGUUUGCGCUGCAAAAGUGAAUCAUCAGAGAGUGGUGGAUGAUCUAAAUGAAUCAAAGUCUUGUGUUCCACUCAUUCAAUCUUUUGUUGGGAUGCUAAAUGCUUCAGAAUCUCUACAUUUGGAAGACCAGGGGGAUAAGAUCGCAAUAAGCAUCUCCAGGAAUGCCGAAGAAGCAUCAAAAAAGGAUGAGGUGAAGAAAAGUACUUUGGUUGUUUCGGGGGUCAAUAUAGCUAUAUGGCUACUUUCUGCUCUUGCCAGUCAUGAUGACACAAGUAAAGCUGAGAUUAUGGAGGCUGGUGCAAUUGAAGUUCUUACUGAGAGAAUCUCUCAAUCUUUUACACAGUUUACACAGAUUGAUUUUAAGGAGGAUAGCAGCAUAUGGAUUUGUGGAUUGCUUCUGGCUAUCUUAUUUCAAGAUAGAGACAUCAUACGAGCAAACGGAACAAUGAAAGCCAUACCUGUGUUAGCUAAUCUGCUGAAGUCAGAAGAGUCAGCAAACAGGUAUUUUGCUGCACAAGCUGUAGCAAGCCUUGUCUGUAACGGUAGCAGGGGAACUCUGCUGUCUGUUGCAAAUUCAGGAGCGCCAUCCGGACUCAUAACGUUACUUGGUUGUGCUGAUGAGGAUAUAAAGGACCUUGUGGCACUAUCAGAGGAAUUUGCGUUGGUCCGUAACCCAGAUGAAGUUGCACUCGAAAGAUUGUUUAGGGUGGAUGAUAUUAGGGUUGGCGCAACUUCUAGGAAAGCUAUACCAGCCCUUGUUGACUUGCUAAAACCUAUCCCUGAUCGUCCCGGUGCACCUUUUCUAGCUCUUGGACUUCUGAUUCAGCUUGCCAGGGAUUGUCCUUCAAAUAAGAUUGUUAUGGUUGAAUCUGGGGCUCUGGAAGCACUGACUAAAUACCUUUCACUUGGUCCGCAAGAUGCAACUGAGGAGGCUGCCACUGAUUUGUUAGGUAUCCUAUUUACUACUGCUGAAAUAUGCAGGCACGAAUCUGCUUUUGGUGCUGUUGGUCAGCUAAUUGCAGUUUUACGUCUUGGUGGAAGAGGGGCAAGGUAUAGUGCUGCCAAAGCCUUGGAAAACUUGUUCUCAGCAGAUCACAUCAGGAAUGCAGAAUCAGCUAGACAGUCUGUUCAGCCUUUGGUUGAGAUUCUGAAUACUGGUCUGGAGAGGGAGCAGCAUGCAGCCAUUGCUGCAUUAGUUAGGCUUCUCAGUGAGAAUCCUUCAAAAGCUCUUGCGGUUGCAGAUGUCGAGAUGAAUGCAGUGGAUGUUCUUUGCCGAAUUCUUGCAUCAAGCUGCUCAAUGGAGCUGAAGGGUGACGCAGCCGAGUUGUGUUCUGUUUUGUUUGGAAAUACAAGAAUAAGGUCUACAAUGGCUGCAGCUAGAUGUGUGGAGCCUUUGGUUUCUCUUCUUGUUACUGAAUUUAGUCCUGCUCAUCAUUCUGUUGUUCGUGCAUUAGAUAAACUAGUGGA